UACGUAGGGUGCAAGCGUUGUCCGGAAUUAUUGGGCGUAAAGAGCUUGUAGGCGGUUUGUCGCGUCUGCUGUGAAAUUUCGGGGCUCAACCCCGAACUUGCAGUGGGUACGGGCAGACUAGAGUGUGGUAGGGGAGACUGGAAUUCCUGGUGUAGCGGUGAAAUGCGCAGAUAUCAGGAAGAACACCCGUGGCUAAGGCGGUUCUCUAGUACGGUACUGACGCUGAGACGCGAAAGCGUGGGGAGCGAACAGG
rnacentral:rRNA from 1 species